AUGACUAUGUCAAACAUCCCCAUCGGUUUUCCUGAGAGUGCAGUGCAGUCCUCAUCUUCUGAGCUCUCAGAUGAGCUCACCACUGCCCUCGCUGCAGGACGGUGGUGGGCAAUAAUGGAGGUCUCCUCUCCUAUAUCUGAGGAGCCUGAAUAUGGAGACCUCACCUCACUCAGGUUCCCACACUCAGGGUUCUCAGAAUCAACACUGAAUACCAAGGAACCUUGGAGGCAGAAGAAGACACAGAGUACACCCAUGCCUCCCAGGUCCCUAAAGGGAGCACCUGUGCCUGCCUUUGCUGAGAGGAGGGAUCACACCUCAUCCCUGGUCUUCAACAAUGCAUCAGAGAAGGCAUCUCUACACUCAGGCUUCUCAGAUGCAAAGCUCAAGACCACGGAGCAACAGAGGAAGUGGAGGCAGAAGAAGCCACAUGGUCUACCUGUGCUUGCUGGGUCUGAGAAGGCUGAGUAUGGGAAUUCAAUGAAGACCACUAAGCAGGUGAGGCAAGAGUGGAGACCGAAGAAGCCUCAGGGACCACCUGUGCCUGGUGACUCCCCCCAGGGACAUCCUGUGCCCACUCGGUCCCAACAACGUGGAAAAAUCAGGAUCCCUGACCAUUUGAGGAAGCACCUGCUACAGGCCGCCAAUGACCUGGGAGCAACUGUGCCUGCUAGGUCCCCACAGGGACCACCAGUUCCUACAAAGUCUCUACAGAGAGAACCUGUGCCUUCCUCAAAGGUGCAAAACUUAAAUACACCUGAGCCACUAAGGCAGGAGCUACAGCAGAAGAAGCCUCAAGCCUCUUCUCACAAUGGAGCACCUGUACCCAACAAGACCCCAGAGAGGCAAAGGCUAAAAAUCCCUGAGCCGCUGAGGCAGGAGCUGCUGCAGUUGUCUUACCGAGCCUCAUCAGUGAAGGGAGAACUUGUGCCCCAAAAGACCCAGGAAAAGCAGAGGCUCAAGACGCCUGAGCUGUUAAAGCAGGAGCUGCUUCAGGUGUCAUCUAGAGCCUCUACUGAAAAGGGAGCACCUGUGCCUCAAAAGAUCCAGGAGAGGCAGAGGCUCAAGAUACCUGAGCAGCUGAGGCAGGAGCUGCUGCAGCUUUCACGCCGAGCCUCAUCUGUGAAGGGUGAACUUGAGCCCCAAAAAACCCAGGAGAGGCAGAGGCUCAAGACGCCUGAGCUGUUAAAGCAGGAGCUGCUUCAGGUGUCACCCAGAGCCUCUUCUGAGAAGGGAGCACCCGUGCCCAUAAAGACUGCAGAGAGGCAAAGGCUCAAAAUACCAGAGCCACUGAGGAAGGAACUGCUCCAGAAGCCUCAAGCCUCUCCUGCAGAGGGUAAACCCAUGUCUUCCAAGUCCCCAAAGGAAGCACCUUUACCUGACAGGAACCCUGUUCAUACCGGGACCUCACAGGGAUCAGGAGUGCUCUCCAGUUCUCCACUGCCCACUGGGUGUCUGAGGGAAGCAGCAGUACUCACCAAAACCAUGAAGGCAGGAAAACGGAGGCUUGCUGAGCAACUGAGCAUGCCUAUCUCUUCCACUGAAGGAUUACAUAUGCCCUCCAGGACCUCAAAAGUGGCACCUGUGUAUUCUGGGACCUUACAGGGAGCCCUUGCGACCAGAAGCUCCCCAAGACUGGAAGCAAACCCAAGAAUCACAGAGCAGCAGAAGCAGAAGCGCAGGGAGCAGUGGAGACAGCAGCAGAGACAGCGGAGGCAGCAGAUGGCAUCAGUAAGUUCUUUCCAUUUCUGA
ensembl:lncRNA